UGCGUAGGCGGCCGCUUAAGUAGGAUGUGAAAUCUCCCGGCUCAACCGGGGAACUGCGUUCUAAACUGGGUGGCUUGAGUGAGAUAGAGGUGUGCGGAACUUCCGGUGGAGCGGUGAAAUGUGUUGAUAUCGGAGGGAACACCAUUGGCGAAAGCGGCACACUGGGUCUCAACUGACGCUGAGGCACGAAAGCCAGGGGAGCAAACG
rnacentral:rRNA from 1 species